GCAACGAGCGCAACCCACGUUUUCAGUUUGCCAGCAUUAAGUUGGGGACUCUGGAGAGACUGCCGGUGACAAACCGGAGGAAGGUGUGGACGACGUCAAGUCAUCAUGCCCCUUACAUCCUGGGCUACACACGUACUACAAUGGUUAGGACAAAGGGCAGCGAAGCCGCGAGGUGGGAGCAAAACUCAUAAACCUAGCCUCAGUUCAGAUUGCAGGCUGCAACUCGCCUGCAUGAAGGAGGAAUCGCUAGUAAUCGCAGGUCAGCAUACUGCGGUGAAUACAUUCCCGGGCCUUGUACACACCGCCCGUCACACCAUGGGGAGUUGGCCACGCCCGAAGUCGUUACCCUAACCGUUCGCGGAGGGGGGACGCCGAAAGUGGGGCUGAUGACUGGGGUGAGU
rnacentral:rRNA from 1 species